rnacentral:rRNA from 1 species
AACGAACGCUGGCGGCAUGCCUAAUACAUGCAAGUCGAACGAGUAAGCUCUUCGGAGUGAGUAGAGUGGCGCACGGGUGAGCAACACGUAGGUAACAUACCUUUUAGUGGGGGACAACCUCGGGAAACCGGGGCUAAUACCGCAUAAGCUGGUAACAGGAAAGGCAGCUUGCUGUCGCUAAAAGAAUGGCCUGCGCAGUAUUAGUUUGUUGGUGGGGUAAUGGCCUACCAAGGCGACGAUACUUAGCUGGUCUGAGAGGAUGAUCAGCCACACUGGAACUGAGACACGGUCCAG